rnacentral:rRNA from 1 species
AUGGUCGUCGUCUUAGCCAUGGCCACCGUGGUCCCCGCCGGCUUGGAGCUUGUGCAGCAGCUCCAUAGUGGUCGUCUGCAUAUUCUACUCUACCGGAUCAAGGCCGGGGAGCAUCAUCCGCGACGCUCGCGCCUUCUUCCUCCGCCAUGGCCGUCCAACGCCGUCGUUCGAUCCGCAUCAUCCCGGCGACCUCCGGUCUCCCCGAGCUCUCCAUCGGUCUCACAUUGUCGCAACCAGAUGUUGGAGCCCAGGAGUCAGACGCCACCUUCGACGACUCCUACUACACCGAGGGUGCCUACUACGUGCAGGUCGCCCCCGACGACUAGGAGUAGUUUAGGAGGAUCCCAGGCAGGAGGCAUGCGCCUCUUUCGAUCUGUAUCCCAGUUUGUGCUAGCCAUCUUAUGGCAACUUGUUUAA